GACAAGAUCCUGGUUCAUCACUUUGAUGCUUGAAAUUGAAGCGUUAGUAGCUAUGAUUUGAGAUAUUAUAAGACUCUUAGAUAAAGCUUAUAGAUUGAAUGAAUUCGAGCAAACAUCGUGAACAAAUCACUUUCCUUAUAAUAUUUUAAGCACUCUCGAAUUUCUUCGAGUUUUUAUGCAGAAAUACACCGGAUAAUUCAG
rnacentral:lncRNA from 1 species